rnacentral:rRNA from 1 species
GCGAGGUGGGGGCCAGAUGAGGGGGGAAGACGUGUGGGGGAAGGGUGGGCUGGAUGGAUGGGGGUUAAAGAGCGUGUAGGCGGCCGGAGCGGUCAGCUGGGAAAACUCGGUGCUCAACCGCGGGACGGCGGUUGAAACCGUACGGCUAGAGUCCGGAAGAGGAGAGUGGAAUUCCCGGUGUAGCGGUGAAAUGCGCAGAUAUCGGGAAGAACACCCGUGGCGAAGGCGGCUCUCUGGGACGGUACUGACGCUGAGACGCGAAAGCGUGGGGAGCGAACAGGAUUAGAUACCCCUGUAGUC